rnacentral:rRNA from 1 species
GGAAUCUUGGACAAUGGGGGAAACCCUGAUCCAGCCAUGCCGCGUGAGUGAUGAAGGCCUUCGGGUUGUAAAACUCUUUCGGCGGGGACGAUAAUGACGGUACCCGCAGAAGAAGCUCCGGCUAACUUCGUGCCAGCAGCCGCGGUAAUACGAAGGGGGCUAGCGUUGUUCGGAAUUACUGGGCGUAAAGCGCGCGCAGGCGGCUAUCCAAGUCAGUGGUGAAAGCCCGGAGCUCAACUCCGGAACUGCCAUUGAAACUGUUUAGCUUGAGGACGAAAGAGGUGAGUGGAAUUCCCUGUGUAGAGGUGAAAUUCGUAGAUAUUGGGACGAACACCGGUGGCGAAGGCGGCUCACUGGCUCGUUUCUGACGCU